rnacentral:rRNA from 1 species
CCUACGGGAGGCAGCAGUGGGGAAUAUUGGACAAUGGGCGAAAGCCUGAUCCAGCCAUGCCGCGUGUGUGAAGAAGGCCUUCGGGUUGUAAAGCACUUUCAGUGGGGAAGAAAGCCUUGGGGCUAAUACCCUCGAGGAAGGACAUCACCCACAGAAGAAGCACCGGCUAACUCCGUGCCAGCAGCCGCGGUAAUACGGAGGGUGCGAGCGUUAAUCGGAAUUACUGGGCGUAAAGCGCGCGUAGGCGGUCUGAUAAGCCGGUUGUGAAAGCCCCGGGCUCAACCUGGGAACGGCAUCCGGAACUGUCAGGCUAGAGUGCAGGAGAGGAAGGUGGAAUUCCCGGUGUAGCGGUGAAAUGCGUAGAGAUCGGGAGGAAUACCAGUGGCGAAGGCGGUCUUCUGGACUGACACUGACGCUGAGGUGCGAAAGCGUGGGUAGCAAACAGGAUUAGAUACCCCGGUAGUC